GAUGAACGCUGGCGGCGUGCCUAAUACAUGCGAGUCGAGCGAACGGACGAGAAGCUUGCUUCUCUGAUGUUAGCGGCGGACGGGUGAGUAACACGUGGAUAACCUACCUAUAAGACUGGGAUAACUUCGGGAAACCGGAGCUAAUACCGGAUAAUAUUUUGAACCGCAUGGUUCAAAAGUGAAAGACGGUCUUGCUGUCACUUAUAGAUGGAUCCGCGCUGCAUUAGCUAGUUGGUAAGGUAACGGCUUACCAAGGCAACGAUGCAUAGCCGACCUGAGAGGGUGAUCGGCCACACUGGAACUGAGACACGGUCCAGACUCCUACGGGAGGCAGCAGUAGGGAAUCUUCCGCAAGGGGCGAAAGCCUGACGGAGCAGCGCCGCGUGAGUGAUGAAGGUCUUCGGAUCGUAAAACUCUGUUAUUGGGGAAGAACAUAUGUGUAAGUAACUGUGCACAUCUUGACGGUACCUAAUCAGAAAGCCACGGCUAACUACGUG
rnacentral:rRNA from 1 species